rnacentral:rRNA from 1 species
UACUGUAGGGGGCAAGCGUUGUCCGGAAUCAUUGGGCGUAAAGAGCUCGUAGGCGGCUCGGUAAGUCAGGUGUCAAAUCCUCAGGCUCAACCUGGGGCUCCACCUGAUACUGCUGUGGCUAGAGUCCGGUAGGGGAGACUGGAAUUCCUGGUGUAGCGGUGAAAUGCGCAGAUAUCAGGAGGAACACCGGUGGCGAAGGCGGAUCUCUGGGCCUUACCUGACGCUGAGGCACGAAGGCCAGGGGAGCGAACAGG